GCCGCUCUGAGACGGAUCUGAGUUCACGGAAGAAAAAGAAGGAAAGAAAGAAAGAAGCACAGAAAUUAGGAAGACAAGAAGGAAGACAUCCAGGGAAAAUGGACUGGAAAAGCAGAUCAAGACAAGCUUAGUUAUGUAAUAAAUGGACUUCAUACUCACACUCCCAUCA